rnacentral:rRNA from 1 species
GACGAACGCUGGCGGCGUGCUUAACACAUGCAAGUCGAGCGGGGUCCAUCCAGUAGCAAUACUGGUGAAGACCUAGCGGCGAACGGGUGAGUAACACGUGAGCAACCUGCCCCGAAGUCGUGGGAUAACACCGGGAAACCGGUGCUAAUACCGGAUGUCCUCACCGAGUCACCUGGCUUGAUGAGGAAAGAUUUAUCGCGUUCGGGAGGGGCUCGCGGCCUAUCAGCUUGUUGGCGGGGUAACGGCCACCAAGGCUUCGACGGGUAGCUGGUCUGAGAGGACGACCAGCCACACUGGGACUGAGACACGGCCCAGACUCCUACGGGAGGCAGCA